AUGGGGCGUAUCCGCACCGCAGUAGGCUGGCUCGCCUCACCCAUCAUUUCAAGGGUCCUCAACAAAGGUUUCGCCCACCUCGACUUUAACGCAGCGGACAAGCUGAAGAUACUCGAUGUACAAGUUUUACAACUGCAGCGCGUGAUGGAAGUAGUCGACGAGAGCACUUACAGGCUUCCCUUGGAGCCACUGUUAAACGACCUUCGGUCCACUGCCUACGAAGCCGAAGACAUCUUGGAUAGUGCAGCAUCUCAAGAAGAAGAUCCAAGAUGCCAAGUCAGCCGCCAGCAUGCCUCCACGUAA
rnacentral:rRNA from 1 species